CCUGUGGCUGCCGCCAGCGUGCUCGCCGUUACCUCCCGCGCAUGCUCUAUCGGGUAGAGACGGAAGGCAGGUACUGCCAAGGUGGGCCCGGCGGUGUGAGGGUCACCUUUCAGCCCUUACCUCUACCCGCUGAAAUGGAAUAGGGCGGUGAGCGCCGAUCUGCUGGAGAAUCUCGUUAUCCCAUCGGCGCUCUGCCUGCUCCUGGCCUCCAAGCCUCUGAAGCCCCCCGGAUUUCAGCUGCCGGCUACCCCCGAGCCCGUGGUGCCCACGAGAGGCGGCUUUACGUCAGCGGCCCUGGGCUGAGAUUUGAGAACGCGACCGAGUGGAGAAUGUUGGAGCCAGAUUUUAAAAUCCUUGGCUUCCUUAUUCUUGCUACUUGAUGUAAAUGAGAUGCGGCAAAGUCACAGUACCUGUUUUUAUGUUUUUGCCGGGUUCAUACGGGCUUCUCCGGUGAAGAUGGGCCGAAGUAAAGCUUGUGUUGCUUCUGCCGUUAUUACUCAUCCUGUAGCUGCAGCAACCGUGGUCCUUGCAGCAUUGUUUUGAUAGUGCUGCUUAAUUCUUGAAAGGUUCUUCGGACUUCACAGAUUCCAGCAAUAGCUCUCUCAGCUCCUGCCCUGCACAGCUUUGAAGUGCUGGUGAUGUCAUUGAACUCUUAAGUGCAAGGUGAAACAAGUCUUCCUGGCAUUCCAAGUAGACCAGGUUCGAAUGCCUUUGCCUCAUGGAAGUGUUGGAUGAUUUUCUUCGGCAUAAUCAGUCAGGAUUCUUUCUGUGGUCCUGGAUCCUCUGUUGAGCAUCUUUCUUCCACAUUCUUCACACUGUACUGAUGUAAGCUGCCUUGAGGCCCUGAAUUCAAUUUUUGUCUCUCCAUUGCUGUGAAACUGAGAAGCUCAGCUGACCUACUGGCCUCCUGGUCCAUGUCUUGACCUCCAAUUUUUCACCUUGUACCUAAAGCCAAGAAUCAGCAACUGCUCCAAGGAAAAAAAUGGGUCUAAGAAGUAAGCUCAUCUCUCGUUGGUUCUCCUUUCUCCAACAUCUUGGCCCCUCAAUUCCUGGUUGUCUCGCUGGCUUUGUGCUGCUUUCAAACUUAUAACUUUGUGUUUCAUCUGACUUUUCAUUGUUCUUGACAGGGGUUUCAUUGUACUCCUGUGUACUCAACAUAGCCAGGAGUGGAAAUCCUGGCAUGAGUAACAGAAUUUUUCACUCAGCAUUUCUAUGUGGUAUUUACAGUGCUAAGGUCUCUUUUUAAUUAACACAAGACAAUUUUAUUGUCUUGUAAUUAUAAU